UUAACGGCACCAAGAACGCGGGUGGAGAGGAUGGCCACCGUGAUAUAUCUUGUUAGGCCCAACACUGUUUCCUGCCCUUGCUCCGUUACCCGACUUGGCCGCUUCCGCUUCGUCCUCUCCGAGGCCUACGAUCUCGUCGGUCGCCGUGGUGUGGGCCGAGCGAACGCCAAGAGCCGCUCUGGUUUCGUUCGCCAAGUCAAUGCUUAUGUGGCGUUGUUUGAUCAAUGAACUUGUGGAUGAAUGAAUUUGUUUAUGGGGAGGUAAUUUCUUUCUUGGAACUUCAGCGUUGCCAUUUCGUCAAAUUGAUGAAAGGCUAUAGAUGUAAAAAGAUAGAUGGAUUUGACCCUGUUAGGGCUUGGUGGCCUUCGGCAGAGUAAAAUGACGGCAGUAAAUAGUGUUGUUUGUUCAAAUUCUGCUUGAGGAGAUCAUAUUGGUGCUGGUUACUCAAGCUAUUUGUUAGCUAACUUUUUGUUAGCUUUAAUGCAAGCAUAAAUGAUCAAGGGUUUUUUCAGUUUUGGAAGGAUUUUGAGGAAGAACAUGUGUCGGAUGAAAUGAGCUCCAAAUCAACAAAUAGUCCUGCGAAGUAUUAAGCAUAAUAAAGAUGGUUGGUGAUGCAGGUAGUUCUAUUGGUUCAAGUGAGGGAAGUGCAUAGAGAGUUCUAGUAACUAAUCCUCUUGAAUCCUAUUGGCGCUGAUGUGAUUCUUCUUUCUUGUUUCAAUUGGUAAAAACUUUCUUAGAGGAUGUGUUAUCAUUGAAGGUACUGUACUCGUGGCAUGGCAGUUUCUAUUAGGUCAAUCAGUCAACAAGCAUGUCCAUUCAUCUAUGAUGAUAUUAUGGUUCUCCUUGUUCUUUGCAUUCUUGCUGAAGUAUUUGCAAAGAUAGUAUGCUAUUUUUCCACUUGAAGUAUUUGCAAAGAAGUAUUUGCAUUCUUGCUGAAGUAUUUUUUUAUUUUUCCACUUAAGGAGUAUCUACAGGCCCUAUAUUUUCCAGAAAUUGCAUAUCGCAUGCUGGUCCAUCAAUGUGCCUGUGUAUAUCUCUUCUGUGACAGAUAAAUCUAACAAGUUAAAAAUUGUGAAUUGUUUCUGGUGGAGGCAGAUUGUGUAUGUCUUGGAGGUCCAUUUUAAGAUUUAUACUUCCAUUAGGAUGCGAGGAUAUAUAGAGAUAACACAUGAAACUUAUCCAAGAGGAAGGGUGAUACUAGAAUGCCUGUUCCACCAAAUCUAGUCCAGGAAGUUAAAUUGAUGAUAUGGCUGUGGAUAUGAUAAUAUCACAAACUUCUAGUUUGGCUUUCCUUCCAGAUAUCUAACAUCAUAACCUACUUUUGCAUAAAUUUUAACAGAGAACUUUGAGCAUCGGAAUUUAUACUCUUGGUGCUUGUAUUGCUUGGGUGAUUUUGGCAGUCGAUUUCUUUUGACACCAUAAACAGUUAUAACAUCACAAUGGGAUGGAUUAAUGUCAGAACCAUCAAGAACUAACCAUUUUGUGUUUGGUUCAUGUAUCCUUUAGAAUGUUUCUUUUUAAGUGUUUCCUUCUAGUGCACAAUAUCUAAACUCUUUUUCUUAAUUGACAUACUUGUUGCAUUAGUAUCUUAUAUUGAAAGGUGACAUAAGUGAAUUAGUGUUAAAAAUCGUAUAUUUGGACAUCUCUUUGUCAAAGUUUAUUGAAAUUUGAAAUAAUAAUUUGAGACACAAUCAUGUCACAUGAGAGUUCUUGUAGUUUGAACUUUGUUUAGUUAAUACUGUUACUUUGUUAUUUGUGUGCGUCUUUGUGUCAGUGGCAAUUUGCAGGACAAGAUAGUUGUUUAAACAAUGAUUAUUCGCCAAGCUGCUCAUCAAGGUGUGGAUCCAGGUGUGGCUGAUGGUUUGCUUUUUUCAUUGUGUGCAUGCCAACAGGUAUGGUUUUCAUAGUCAAUGUAGUCUAUCUCCCCUGCAAACAUACUUCUGUUUGUAGAACUCUUUGCUUUAUCUGCUUUGCCCAGCAUGCAUUUUGUGUGAUUGGCUACAUUUGAAGAAUAUUUGCUGUAAAUAAUUUAGAAACACAAAUUUUAGGUAAGUUUGCCUCUGCAGUUAGCCUACUCUAUUGUUGUACUUAUGGAAUUACAAGUGCUUACCACUGAUGUCGUGCGUACUUGACUUUUGAGAUCAAAAGUUUAUUCGUUCAUAGAUUUUAGCAUCAUUUUUGGUUUCUCUAAAUAUUUAUGGAGUCUCAAGCUUCGGCAUUCACAAAGGUUUUAGGGCACUCUUUUUUAGCUUGAAUUGGACUCAUUUUUUUACAAACCUCUUUUUCAGGUGUAGAAUUGGCAUUUGCCUUUUUUAUUUUUUUCUUUUAGACUGAUUUGUUAAAGCUAAUUGAAAACACAUCCAAUUAAGUCUAUUAAGAAUUUAAUACUCCCAUGGAUACGAUAGCUUGUUCACUUGGGCUUAUAUUUGCCUGUCUACAAACUUAAUCUUGUUUUUGUUGUUGGUGAAUGUCAUUUCCUUUUGUAUUGGUGUUUAUAUUUUGUAGAAUCUGUCCUAAAAGCACACCAUAAAUAUAGGUAGGGACACAUUAUUUGCUUUUAUUUUCCUAGAAUUACACGCAAUAAUCCGUUCGGUAUUUUUUUUAAUCUGUUUGUAGCAGUUGCCCUGUCCCUAAAGUGUGCAAUAGUUUGGGAAUUGGGUGAUAGGGUUCUAGCCACAGAAAUGACUUCUCUAUUUGGGGGAUGAAACAAUGCAUAUUGAUCAUCCCCGAUCUCCCAUGUUGGCAGACACUUGGUUUGCCUUCUUUUUUUAGUUGACAUGUCCCUCUCUUGUCAAAUUGGUUAGGAAUUCGGUACCUGUGUUUUAUUGCUUUCUUGAUGUUUUCUGAUGCCUAUAUUCAUUCACGUAUUAAUGAGAAACUGGUGAUCGCUUUUAAGUCGGAACUAAAGUCAAUGUUGGUUUGCAAUCCUCACCUCUAGGUUUUUUCACUUUUAAGUUGGAACUAAGGUGAUGAUGCCUUGCAAUUCUCACCUCUAGGUUUUCAUUUUUCCCUUUUCCUUUUAUAAGAAAUAGGAUGAAACAAUAUAAGCUCGCUUUCAUGAUCCAGCCUUGCUUGAGAUAUUUAGAUGGAGUAAUUGGUACUCUUUCUUUCAUUUGAGCAUCAUUUUCUCAUGUAGGCCACAGUAAGGAAAGCAGUGUAUCUGGAAGCACAUGCUUAUAUGAUCAUUUGUUUGACACCAAGACUUGAGAGGAAUUUGAGAUUAUUGGGACCAUGAUAACAUGCCAAGUUACAGCUGUAGUGGUGCUACCCAUCACCAGUAAGCUAUCAUUUUUUCCUUGUUAGGUUAUGCUUUCUCUGCAUGCUAGCAAUGAUUAUCCAACUAUAUUUCUAGUUCAGGAGAAGAAAAAACUGAGACUGGACUUCACACACCCAUCACUGCUUUUGGUUGGCCCAGAUGUGGUUAGCAUGCAGAGGCAGAGGGGUAUCAUGACCUUACCAAAUCACCCUAAACUCAGUCUGCUUGAUUGGAUCCUGGUCAUGCCCCAUCACUUGUUCUGCUCUCUUGGAAUCAGGCUGUCAGCCAUGCAUUGUUUAGAUAGGUAGCACAUAACCUUAGCUAGCAUGACAUUGUUUGUCAGGGCUUUACUCCCCUUCUAUCUAUUAAAAUUUUGGGCUAGUGUCUCACAACUUAAGCAUGAAAACUAAACUACACAAGUCAAACCCUCGGAAGUAAGUAUUCUAUUUAUAGAUGUAUUUUCUCACUAGAUAUGGGAUUAUUUUGGAGCAUCGAAAUCUCAUCGGGUCAAAUCAUUGAUGUUCUAAUCAGAUUCACACACAUUGCAUGUGAAUCCGCAUGGAUAGCUAGGACUUCCGAAAGUGAUGUGGGACAUCGAAUUGUCAUGGACGGUCAAGCUGUCACUGGUCAUGGUGCUUGUCUCCAUCGAACCGAAAAUUCACUGUGUUGCAUGGUAGGUCUCAAUGUGAUCCAUCCACCAGGACCAGUUGACCUUAUACCAAAUCUGUCAUCAUGAUUCAAGUCCAAAAUCACAGAAUUAAUCUUCCAAAAAGGAUAGUCAGACAGUGCAUUUUGAGUUAGUAGCAACUCAUACAGUUCAUAGCCAAUGUAGGAUUAGUUUGAGUUUCAAGCAAAGUACAGUUCGAGAAGAUCCACAUCUGGUUUCCAUCUUUACCUGCCCUAUGGACGGAGUUGUUCCCUGCGCCGCUUCCACUGCCACCACUACCAGCAGCACUUCACCACCAUUGAUAAUGGUGUAAGCACUUCUACAAAAAGUAGCUGCCUACUUUUUAUUUGAAGUGGUAAGAGGCAAAAGAUCUGCCGGAUCCAAACUUUCUUCUGCAUCAAUGGAAGUAAAGCAAACUUCACCAUGGAAAUUGACCCCUGCGACAUGGUAACAACGCCUAGAAGUUUCUUAAUCUAAACCCCAUGCUUGAGCUGAAAUAGGAAGAUGUUGCUGAGGUCUACAUAUCUGACUGCCUUGUACAUUAUAAAUCGUAGGUGGGACAUCAUAAAUCACUCUUCAAACUCCCACUUUGGUUUCCCUAGCUAUUAGAGUUGCCCACUUCUUUUAUGAUAAGAUUCUGACAGAUAUUUUCUUAGUGUCUUCCUACGUGGUAACCAUCAAAGUUUCAUCUCUGCAUCUGUAUUUAUGAAAGAGAUUUUGUCUUGGACUUUUGGUCCAUACCUGUAUGAAUGCGUUGACAUUGUUGUAGUGGUCUGGUGAUUCAGGUCCUGAACCAGAAAAUAUAUGCAGGAGAAUCUGUAAGUCUUUCUUCAGACAUGUAUGUACUGUUGCUUGAAUAUUACGAUGGCAAGCCUAUAUAUGUUUAUAUGUCCGAGAAACCACAACCUUUUGACAAGACAAGGAGCAGGAAUAGAGAAAGCAAUUUAUAUCAUUAUACUAGUAAGGUGGUGUUGGCUCAACUAGUCCUGCGCUCACUGACAUUACAUGGUAACAAAGCCAUACAAAACACCUUUGAUAGCACUGAAUGCCACCUAGUGAUUGCAUCACACCUUUUAUAUAUGACAUUGUUCGGUGAGAGAUGGUUUUAAUAAGCAUUAGAUACUCUUAAGCAACUUGUUGAGAUCCCAUCACUGCUCAUCCUGGCUUUGCUUCUUUCUUGCCUUCCUCUUCUAUGGCUGAGGGUGGCGCUGCGUGUAGAUGUAGUCCAAAUGGGCCUCGGACAUCAUUCUCCUCUCAAGGCAUUCUUGGGUUCCACCCUCGCAUGCUUCCAUGCCCAUGAGCUGAAACGAGGAAAAAGGAGUGAGAAAGCAAAGAAAGAAACCACUCCAUCAAGGUUGUGUCCUUUGCCUCACUCACAUUCCAAGGUUCCUCUUCCUCCACCCCUCCUGCAUCCUUCAUCUUCACAUGGUCUGCGUGCCAAAGCAAGAGAGAAUGAAACGAGAAGCAACAGCUGUGUUUUGGACGGAGAGGAGGAUCAUGACGAGGAGGAGCAAGCCGAGAGGUGCCCGAGAGCUGUGCGAGCCGUGUCUCAUUGUUCCUGGUUUCUUGCAACCCACAAACACAGGUAGGGAAGAAGAAGGGGGAGAUGAGAUGGGGUGGGGAAGGUCACCAGGGGUGAGUCUAUAUAAACGCGUGAGCACCGGGGGAGGGAAGGGAAGGGAAGGGAAGGGAAAAGGGGUCACAUGAAGUGAGAAGCACAAAGCAGGCCGGCAGGCAGGCGGGCAGGCACCUCAGACAACAGCUCUGAGGGACCACCCACCCACCCACCACAGGAGUCUCUCUCUGACUCCCAUACAUGAAUCUGAUGCAGACGCCCCCACGUGUCUCACUCCGUUGAAUCAGAUACACAACCCCGGUUACGCCCCACUUCGGAUCUUUUAUAAACGUUCUCUCCAGCAAACACACACAACUCAAAAUGAAAUGUUUCUUUUUCC